ACGGGAGGCAGCAGUGAGGAAUAUUGGUCAAUGGGCGAGAGCCUGAACCAGCCAUGUCGCGUGGAGGAAUAAGGAUCUAUGGUUCGUAAACUCCUUUUGCGGGGGGAUAAAGUGCGGGACGCGUCCCGCUUUGCAGGUACCCCGCGAAUAAGCAUCGGCUAACUCCGUGCCAGCAGCCGCGGUAAUACGGAGGAUGCGAGCGUUAUCCGGAUUUAUUGGGUUUAAAGGGUGCGCAGGCGGCACGUUAAGUCAGCGGUGAAAUGCAGGGGCUCAACCCCGGCACUGCCGUUGAAACUGGCGAGCUCGAGUACGGAUGAAGUCGGCGGAAUGUGAUGUGUAGCGGUGAAAUGCUUAGAUAUGUCACAGAACACCGAUUGCGAAGGCAGCUGACUAAUCCGCAACUGACGCUCAGGCACGAAAGCGUGGGGAUCGAACAGGAUUAGAUACCCUGGUA
rnacentral:rRNA from 1 species